rnacentral:rRNA from 1 species
GACGAACGCUGGCGGCGUGCUUAACACAUGCAAGUCGAACGGAAAGGCCCUGCUUGCAGGGUGCUCGAGUGGCGAACGGGUGAGUAACACGUGGGUGAUCUGCCCCUUACUUUGGGAUAAGCCCGGGAAACUGGGUCUAAUACUGGAUAGGACCAUGCUGUAGGUGGUGUGGUGGAAAGAUUAGUUUCGGUAAGGGAUGAGCUCGCGGCCUAUCAGCUUGUUGGUGGGGUAAUGGCCUACCAAGGCGUCGACGGGUAGCCGGCCUGAGAGGGUGGACGGCCACAUUGGGACUGAGAUACGGCCCAGACUCCUACGGGAGGCAGCAGUGGGGAAUAUUGCACAAUGGGCGCAAGCCUGAUGCAGCGACGCCGCGUGGGGGAUGACGGCCUUCGGGUUGUAAACUCCUUUCAGCCAUGACGAAGCCCUUGUGGUGACGGUAGUGGUAGAAGAAGCACCGGCUAACUACGUG